AGUGAACGCUGGCGGUAGGCCUAACACAUGCAAGUCGAACGGCAGCACAGUAAGAGCUUGCUCUUACGGGUGGCGAGUGGCGGACGGGUGAGGAAUACAUCGGAAUCUACUUUUUCGUGGGGGAUAACGUAGGGAAACUUACGCUAAUACCGCAUACGACCUACGGGUGAAAGCAGGGGAUCUUCGGACCUUGCGCGAAUGAAUGAGCCGAUGUCGGAUUAGCUAGUUGGCGGGGGAAAGGCCCACCAAGGCGACGAUCCGUAGCUGGUCUGAGAGGAUGAUCAGCAACACUGGAACUGAGACACGGUCCAGACUCCUACGGGAGGCAGCAGUGGGGAAUAUUGGACAAAGGGCGCAAGCCUGAUGCAGACAUACCGCGUGGGUGAAGAAGGCCUUCGGGUUGUAAACCCCUUUUGUUGGGAAAGAAAAGCAGCAGGUUAAUACCCCGCUGUUCUGACGGUACCCAAAGAAUAAGCACCGGCUAACUUCGUG
rnacentral:rRNA from 1 species